rnacentral:rRNA from 1 species
AUGUCACUUGAAAUAUUUUCUCUAUGUAUGCAGAUGUCUGAUAGUGACAACGAUGAUUCUGAUGAUGAGAGUAUGAAGUUUUGCAAUCUUGUUCUGGGUGCUGCUACACUUGCACAAGUGUAUUGUGAUACAUAUCUUGAUAAGAAUCCACCGAGGACAUCAAUUCUAAGUGGUAUGGGAUGGUUGCAAGAGACUUUGAGGACUCCAGGUGAAUGCCUUUCACAACUUCGCAUGAGCACAGAAGUAUUCAUGGACCUUCAUGACUUGUUGGUGCGAAGGUACGGGUUAGAAUCAUCCAUGCAUGUGAGCACCUAUGAAAGUCUUGCAAUGUUCCUGUUCAUCUGUGGUGGCAAUGAGUCCAACCGAAAAGUUCAAAAUCGUUUCAAGCACUCGGGCGAAACCAUUAGUAGGAAAUUUGAUGAGGUUCUGAAUUGUUUGAUGAAAAUGGCAAAAGAUUUCAUUAGACCUAAAAACCCCAACUUUCCAACUAUUCAUAAGAGGAUAAGAGAUGAUAGAUGGGAGUAUCCACACUUCAAAGAUUGCGUUGGUGCACUUGAUGGCACGCAUAUUUUAGUGUCUCUGUCUCCUGAGGAUAGUGUCAGAUAUAUUGGGAAAUCGGGGAUACCGACUCAAAAUGUUCUUGCAAUUUGUGACUUUGACAUGCUAUUCACUUAUGUGUCCGUGGGGCAACCAGGAGCUAUGCAUGAUACUAGUGUGCUAUACAAUGCAAUAAGUGUUGAUGAAAGUUUCUUCCCACACCCUCCAAAAGGCAAAUACUAUGUUGUUGAUGCGGGAUAUCCCAAUCAUCUGGGAUACCUGGCUCCUUACAAGGGUGAGAGGUAUCAUAUGCCAGAAUGGCAUAGAGGUAUGGAGCCCAAGACUCCAAUAGAAAAAUUCAAUCGCGUUCACUCAUCUAUCCGCAAUGUUAUUGAGCGAUCAUUUGGGGUGCUAAAAAUGAAGUGGCAGAUUCUCUAUAAGAUGCGACCGUACCUGAUGUUCAAACAAAAAUGA